GAAAGUUCUGAGAGCAGUGAUUUUCAUCCAUCAACUUUAGAAUUUCAUCAAUUUCUGGAAGGAGUUGAACAGAGGAAGCAAGAGAACCUAAGCAGUUCCCUGUCUUUGCUGGGGUUUCUGUUCAUUGCUCCACUCCCUGCCCAUCAGUGAAGCUGGAGAAACCAAUCAGAUUGAUGACUUUGGGGAAAGAACUGUUCUUGCAGAAACUGACCCCGCUUUCCCCCUCUCUACUUCGGAGCCAACUGUUUGCAGAAAGCACAGCAUCUGAUCUGAUUCUUCAUGUUCUUAGCAUACACAACCAGGCCUUCACGUGGUUGUGGUGGGGAACCUGGCCUUCACCAGAGAGGCGACCAGACCUCCAAGGGGGUGGCCUCUGGCUCCAGAGUUGUGCCUAUGCCCAGCUGAAUUGGUCAGAGUUCAAUUCUGGAGUUCUGUAUUUAAAAGCUAUUCUUUAGCCUGCACUUUAUCAAUAAAAAAAGUGGCAAUUUAAUCUGUA